rnacentral:rRNA from 1 species
CCUACGUGAGGCUGCAGUGGGGAAUAUUGCACAAUGGGCGAAAGCCUGAUGCAGCAACGCCGCGUGAGCGAUGAAGGCCUUCUGGUCGUAAAGCUCUGUCCUCAAGGAAGAUAAUUACGGUACUUGAGGAGUACUCCCCGGCUAACUACGUUCCAGCCGCCGCGGUACUACGUCGGGGGCUAGCUUUAUCCGGAAUUACUGGGCGUAAAGGGUGCGUAGGGGGUUUCUUAAGUCAGAGGUGAAAGGCUACGGCUCAACCGUAGUAAGCCUUUGAAACUGGGGAACUUGAGUGCAGGAGAGGAGAGUGGAAUUCCUAGUGUAGCGGUGAAAUGCGUAGAUAUUAGGAGGAACACCAGUUGCGAAGGCGGCUCUCUGGACUGUAACUGACACUGAGGCACGAAAGCGUGGGGAGCAAACAGGAUUAGAUACCCUGGUAGUC